CUUCUGCCCGUGCCUGGCCCCGCCGGGUCGCUCCCGAGCUCCGCGUUUCGUUCGCCGACCCCUGGAAGACUGCCUGGAGGCCCGGGCGCCACCCAACCACUGGCUAGGCCGACACUUUGCGCGGACCCUGGGUGUAAAAGGUCCCCGGGUCUCUGGUCCCGACGGAGCUGUGAGGGAGAUCAACCACGCCCCCUCCGUGGGCACCGUGGCGGCAGGGAAGGAAAAGGGCUCUGGGUCUCGACUCUCUUCGGGUUAAGAACCGACGGGGUUUAUUCUAUGCAAGGUGUUAUUAACUCCAACUCUCCCUUUCGUUCAUUCAUUCCAUAUAUGUUGAACGACAACUUAGUGCCAAAUGCCGGCAUGCUGAAACUCAGAGAGGGAAGAUGUCUUGCAAGUACAGCAGCCACACCCAGAGUUUCGCUCUUGUUCCCUGGGCUGCAGUGCAGUGGCACCAUCUCGGCUCACCGCAACCUCCGCCUCCCAAGUUCAAGCGAUUCUCCUGCCUCAGCCUCCCCAGUAUCUGGGAUUACAGGUAUGCGCCAGUAAAGACAGAUCUUGAGAACCCAAGAUCAUCAAGGAGUAUCCAUGAUCAAGCAGAGCAGGGAAGGCUUUUUGCUUUGUUUUGUUUUGUUUUUAACAUGCUGUGUGGUUCAGUAAAAUUAAAACAGGCACAAUGAUAUCCUGGAUGACAAGAGCUGGAGGCUGUCAUUCUAACAAUGUAGUGAGACUGGCUGUCUUGUCUCAUGCCCACCCCUGGAAACAUGCGCAGGAACUCAAAGCACCUAGCACAGAGGAAGUGUCUGGUUGUUUUAAAGGAAAAACAAAACCAAAAAAAGCACCUCCUGCUCUGACCACCCCUAUUUCCAGUUUUCCCUUUUGGCACAGCAAAGAUGACCUUGGGACUGAGGUGGAACCAUGUAAUUCUUCGUAAUCCCAGAGUCAGGCAGACCUGGGAGAUAACAUCCAUCUCGAAGGAAGAUCUGGCCUGAAGAGCAGUCACUCUUGCCUGGCAUGCAGAGAAUGCCAAAUCAUAUUAAUGACUGGCCAGAAUGAAGUGCGUGACCUCAUCACUCCAUAACUGACAGGAAACAACUGCUAGGGCAAGAAAAAAGGGUCUCCAGUGAGUAUUCUUGUCCACACACAUCCCCACUCACGUUCCUGGACCACUGCAUCUAACUGCCGCAGCAGCUAAUGAACCUUCUGGAAUAAAGGACCAGUUUCUUAAGAAGGGAUUGAGACCUCCAGUGGCCUCCCACAUUGUUUCCGGCAAGAAUUUAAAAAUUAUUUGUAACAUAUAGUAAUAAAAACUAACCACAGGCUGGGCGCAGUGGCUCACGCCUGUAAUCCCAGCACUUUGGGAGGCUGAGGCAGGUGGAUCACCUGAGGUCAGGAGUUCGAGACCAGCCUGACCAAUAUGGUGAAACCCUGUUUCUCCUAAAAAUACAAAAAUUAGCUGGGCAUGGUGGUGGGCGCCUGUAAUCUCAGCUACUCAGGAGGCUGAAACAGGAGAACUGCUUGAAUCUGGGAGGUAGAUGUUGCAGUGAGCCGAUAUCGCGCCAUUGCACUCCAGCCUGGGCAAUGACUCCGUCUCAAAAAAAAAAAAAAAAAAAAAAAACUAACCACAGCUACUAUUUAUGAACUCUAGUGCCACACCCCAUUUCUUCCCAGGUUUCACCCCCUCUUCCCAGGUUUCACCCACCCCAACCAGUGUUGUUUGCAACACUUCAGCUUCUCUCCUCACGAAGCACGUCUCCAGAGACGCCUCUUCCGCAACUUCCCAGGGAAGCCAUUUCUGCCUGGACCCACCACAGCUCCCAACCUGUCACGCACCCCUGGAGGGUUUUGCUCUGUAAUCCUGAUUUAGAAAUCCUCUUAUAUGAAACCACUGUAAUCCACAUCUGGUUAGACAAUUGGAAAAGUUCAUUGAAAGGAGAAAUAAUAAAAAUGGCAUCCAUCCCUUAAAUGUUGUAUGCCAACGUAAAACACAUUCGACAAUGACCCUGGGCUAAGGCUCUACCUUACAGAGAAACCUGUAUCGGUGUUCCCCUCCAUUUUCCUUACAUAAACCAACCAAAAAUCUUCAGUUGUUCCGUUCUCUGUCUCUCUCCCUCUCCACACCCACCUUCCCUCUUCCUCUCUCCCUCCCUCCCUCUCUCUUUCUCUCUUUUUUGAGACAGAGUUUCACUCUGUCACCCAGGCUGGAGUGCAGCGGCUAGAUCUUGGUUCACUGCAGCCUCCACCACUCCCCCCACUUCCCCCCCGCCGCCCCUGCCCCCACCGCAGCCUCCCAGGUGGCUGGGACUACAGGCCACCACGCCCACUAAUUUUUGUAUUUUUUCUAUAGAGACGGGGUUUCAUCAUGUUGCCCAGACUGGUCUCAAACUCUUGGGCUCAAGCAAUCCUCUCACCUCAGCCUCCCGGUGCUGGGAUUAUAGGCGUGAACCAUCGCGUCCGGCCUCCCAAAUCUUUUACAGUUGUCUUGUUCACUUCUCAUUCAGCAGCAUUUUGAGUUGGGAGGGGUAACAACUCACCUUAAUCAAGUCUCUCUAAAGCAUUCAACUUAGUUUUACUAGGUUCAUUUCUUGUAGCUCAUUGGUUUAACUAAUAGUUCCCCAAAUCACAUCCUACCAGUAUAAAAGCACAACUGGUAUAAACACGUUUGGGAACACACAUAACUCAAGUAUCAGGAUGUAAGAGCGAGAGCAUGGGGAGAGUUAAGAAUUUCUCACAGACUGAUUCCCUCCCACAUUCAUCCCUGGUGUGUUUAUCCGUGUUAGGGCUGUUCUGAUGAAAGUCUUGUAGGACUUGGCAGCAAGAUGGGAAAGAUCCAUGGAAGUCCAUUGCUCAUAGCUGAUGAUGAUCUCUCAUUGCUGAGCUUAGGGUUGAAAAAGGAGUGCCAGGUCCUUUGAAAUCAAGAAGAAUUUAUGAAUCACCUUUCAUUUAUGGAGCCCUUAGCUCAAAGCUCUAAAGUUAGUCUUUUCUCAAGAUUAUAUCCUAUUUGGGAAUGCUCAUAAUGGUCCAAUCACCAUUUGUGAAAACUUACUGUGUACCAGCAAUAAACACUCUUCUACAUAGACAAUCUCAUUCUAAUAUAAUUUCUGUGCACGUUAUAGAUUCUAUUUCUGAAACAGCCCUAUGUGGUAGUUUUAUUACUAUCCUCAUUUUCACCCAACAAAUCUGAGGCACUGAGAGGUUAAGGACCUGGACUGAAGCUGCACAGCUAGAAGGUGACAGA
rnacentral:lncRNA from 1 species